rnacentral:rRNA from 1 species
GAUGAACGCUGGCGGCGUGCCUAAUACAUGCAAGUCGAGCGAACAGACGAGGAGCUUGCUCCUCUAACGUUAGCGGCGGACGGGUGAGUAACACGUGGAAAACCUACCUAUAAGACGGGGAAAACUUCGGGAAACCGGAGCUAAUACCGGAUAAUAUAUUGAACCGCAUGGUUCAAUAGUGAAAGACGGUUUUGCUGUAACUUAUAGAUGGAUCCGCGCCGCAUUAGCUAGUUGGUAAGGUAACAGCUUACCAAGGCAACGAUGCGUAGCCGACCUGAGAGGGUGAUCGGCCACACUGGAACUGAGACACGGUCCAGACUCCUACGGGAGGCAGCAGUAGGGAAUCUUCCGCAAUGGGCGAAAGCCUGACGGAGCAACGCCGCGUGAGUGAUGAAGGUCUUCGGAUCGUAAAACUCUGUUAUUAGGGAAGAACAAAUGUGUAAGUAACUAUGCACGUCUUGACGGUACCUAAUCAGAAAGCCACGGCUAACUACGUG